UAAUACGGAGGGUGCAAGCGUUAAUCGGAAUUACUGGGCGUAAAGCGCACGCAGGCGGUUUGUUAAGUCAGAUGUGAAAUCCCCGAGCUUAACUUGGGAACUGCAUUUGAAACUGGCAAGCUAGAGUCUUGUAGAGGGGGGUAGAAUUCCAGGUGUAGCGGUGAAAUGCGUAGAGAUCUGGAGGAAUACCGGUGGCGAAGGCGGCCCCCUGGACAAAGACUGACGCUCAGGUGCGAAAGCGUGGGGAGCAAACAGGAUUAGAUACCAUGGUAGUCCACGCUGUAAACGAUGUCGACUUGGAGGUUGUGCCCUUGAGGUGUGGCUUCCGGAGCUAACGCGUUAAGUCGACCGCCUGGGGAGUACGGCCGCAAGGUUAAA
rnacentral:rRNA from 1 species